UACAGAGGUCCCGAGCGUUGUUCGGAUUCAUUGGGCGUAAAGGGUGCGUAGGCGGCGGGGCCAGUCUGAUGUGAAAUCCCGGGGCUCAACCCCGGAACUGCAUUGGAUACUGCCUUGCUUGAGUACUGGAGAGGGAACUGGAAUUUACGGUGUAGCAGUGAAAUGCGUAGAUAUCGGGAGGAACACCAGUGGCGAAGGCGGCGACCUGGGCCUGCACUGACGCUCAUGCACGAAAGCGUGGGGAGCAAACAGG
rnacentral:rRNA from 1 species